UACGGGGGGGGCAAGCGUUGUUCGGAAUUACUGGGCGUAAAGGGCCAGUAGGCGGCCAACUAAGUCGGAUGUGAAAUCCCCAGGCUCAACCUGGGAACUGCAUCCGAUACUGGAUGGCUUGAAUUCGGGAGAGGGAUGCAGAAUUCCAGGUGUAGCGGUGAAAUGCGUAGAUAUCUGGAGGAAUACCAGUGGCGAAGGCGGCAUCCUGGACCGACAUUGACGCUGAACGGCGAAAGCUAGGGGAGCAAACGGG
rnacentral:rRNA from 1 species